ACGCUUGAAGAUAGUGGACGCGGAAGUACGCUGGCUUCAAGAUUCAUCGGGAACACACAUACGCCAAGACACUGGUGGAUCACACUUGUAUCAAGUUGAAUUACACAAGAAGAAAACAGAAGGGCCGUUCAUUGACCAGUGGCAAAUUACUGGCCCAUAUGCUGUGCAAACCAUAACACUAUUUUAGUAUUGAAAGCUUGAGGACUGCCAAAAGAAUCACUGUAUAAUCUUGACAUUCAUACUGGCUUUAUACUGACUGCCUAAAUAGUGUAAUUCAUUUCAUUUUCAAAUUUCUUUUGUUUUCGAGAAUAUAAUCAUCUACGUGAAAAAUUGCAGACGAGCGUUCAGAAACCGAUUGAAACAGUCGCUAUUUGGUCCAGAUUUAGAAAAAGAACCGAACUACCGGCCAAGAGUAUGUCUAAACGAACAUCCCGAGACCGCUUUAAAAAGGUU